ensembl:lncRNA
CUUCCAAAUAGGAAAAGGCUUUUUCUUUUUGUGACCAGCUGAUUAGCCAUCUGCCAUACAGCUGUAGGGGAACUAAUGAUUGGUUUGGCCGUUGCUGCUGGGGGUUCAAAUUGAUUGACGGACGUAGAUCCCGUAUCCUCCUGAACUCUCCUGGACAGACCAGUUUUCUAUGGCUGCAGUGCAGAGUCCGCUGACAGUGUCCCGGUUUAUCGGCGGCAUCAUGCGCGUGUAGCGUCGGACAGCCGAGAUUCUACCAGCAGACACUGAAAAGACUCUGAUAGUUCAGUAAGUUAAUGUUUAUUUUCGUAUCGGUGCCGCUUUUAAUGCACUUUAUAUGCAGCUUUAGUGUCAGAUAUAAUGUGUAUCAUGCACUCCAGAUGUUGGUGGAGUUUAUUUCUGUGUGUGUUGACCAGAGAAGAGAGUUAGCAUCCGGUAAAUAUUAGAUUUAAUAUUAGCGAUGCUAACCGAGCUAGCUGCUCAGUCCUAGCCUGAUUAAAGCUAACGUAACAUCAUGCUAACGUAGCAUUAAGCUAACUUAGCAUUAAGCUAAUGAUGUUUGUGUUGAGUUUCAUGUAAACAGCUGAAGUGUGUUGUGUUACUGUAAUGUUGUACAUUUAGUUAAUAAAAAUGUUCAGUGUCAAUAACAGUAAGAGUGUUAUUUCUCUCAUAGAGUAAAACCUGAUGAACACUACUCAGUGUAGGGGAGUGUUCAUCUAGUUUUACACUAAAUACAAUAUUAGUCCUUAGAGUUAAAUUAACUGAAAAUUCAACACUAUCUUCAGUGUAACUUUAACACUGUGUGGGCUGGAACCAGAUGUUCACUGACUUAGUGUUGAAAUGAACUCUUUCAGUGUUAUCUGUAUUCUGGCAGUUUCACUGUACAGGUUCUCAGUUGUAAGGACAUUAAAUGAUCCUUAAAAACAGAAUUUAGAAAGUGAUGUUGUGGGUCUAGAGGCUCAAAGUGUGACAUUUACCAAACUGUCUGUAAUUAUGAGAGUCAAAUCUAUGAAUGAAGCAAUGAAAUGGGAAAGAAUGUGUGAAAUUCUUCAAAGUUUCAUUGGAUUCAUCUCAUCUAAAGGACAUUUUCAUGAAUGUGGAAAAACAACAGGAAGUGGUUUAAAGCAAAGACCCAGAAAAAAAUCAUAAAGUGUGAUAAAAUCCAAGAAGAGACUA